ACCUUUGACUGAUGAGAUGAGAAACUUCUCAUUUUCAUUCUUCUUUUCAUGAACUGAUAGAUUGGUAUAGAACUCUCUGACCAAGUCUUCAUAGGUGUGUUCUUGAAGGGUUAUGAAGUUGGUCCAUCCUUGAGGUUCAGUGAACUCCUUCAUAUUCCAUGCCUUGGUUUCCAGACUUUCAAGGUUGAAAUACUUGGUUCUGCUCAUAGGUCUGAGAGCAAUUUUCUC
rnacentral:lncRNA from 1 species